GGAGGCGAGUGAGGAUCGCGGCGGGCUUCGACCCGUCGAGGAAAGUCCGAGCUCCGCAGGGCAGGGUGCCGGCUAACGGCCGGGCGUCGCGAGGCGACGGAAAGUGCAACAGAGAGCAAACCGCCGAUGGCCCUCUCGGGGGCACAGGCAAGGGUGAAACGGUGCGGUAAGAGCGCACCGCGCUCCUGGUGACAGGAGUGGCACGGUAAACCCCACCCGGAGCAAGGCCAAGCAGGGACGAGGAGUUGCCCGCUCCGCUACCAGUCCCGGGUAGGCUGCAUGAGGCCGACGGUAACGGCGGUCCCAGAGAAAUGAUCCUCUCCGUCGCGAGACGGAACAGAACUCGGCUUAUUCGCCUCCCACG
rnacentral:RNase_P_RNA from 1 species